rnacentral:hammerhead_ribozyme from 1 species
AUUUAGCUGACGAGUCCCAAACAGGACGAAACACACGUCCUGGAU